CAACAGGGAUUGCCCUAGUAACGGCGAGUGAAGCGGCAACAGCUCAAAUUUGAAAUCUGGCCUCUUCGGGGUCCGAGUUGUAAUUUGCAGAGAGAGCUUUGGCGUUGGUUGUGGUCUAAGUUCCUUGGAACAGGACGUCGCAGAGGGUGAGAAUCCCGUAUGUGGCCGCCAGCCUUCGCCGUGUAAAGCCUUCUCGACGAGUCGAGUUGUUUGGGAAUGCAGCUCUAAAUGGGAGGUAAAUUUCUUCUAAAGCUAAAUAUUGGCCAGAGACCGAUAGCGCACAAGUAGAGUGAUCGAAAGAUGAAAAGCACUUUGGAAAGAGAGUCAAAAAGCACGUGAAAUUGUUGAAAGGGAAGCGCUUGCAGCCAGACUUGCUUGCGGUUGUUCAGCCGGGCUCCUGCCCGGUGUACUCUUCCGCACGCAGGCCAGCAUCAGUCCGGGCGGUCGGAUAAAGGCCCAUUAAACGUACCUCCCCUCGGGGAGGACUUAUAGGGUGGGUGCCAUGCGACCAGCCUGGAUUGAGGUCCGCGCAUCUGCUAGGAUGCUGGCGUAAUGGCUGUAAGCGGCCCGUCUUGAAACACGGACCAAGGAGUCUAACAUCUAUGCGAGUGUUUGGGUGUCAAGCCCGAGCGCGUAAUGAAAGUGAACGGAGGUGGGAACCUUUCGGGGUGCACCAUCGACCGAUCCUGAUGUCUUCGGAUGGAUUUGAGUAAGAGCAUAGCUGUUGGGACCCGAAAGAUGGUGAACUAUGCCUGAAUAGGGUGAAGCCAGAGGAAACUCUGGUGGAGGCUCGCAGCGGUUCUGACGUGCAAAUCGAUCGUCAAAUUUGGGCAUAGGGGCGAAAGACU
rnacentral:rRNA from 1 species